rnacentral:rRNA from 1 species
UACGGAGGGGGCUAGCGUUGUUCGGAAUUACUGGGCGUAAAGCGCGCGUAGGCGGACCUGCAAGUCGGGGGUGAAAGCCCGAGGCUCAACCUCGGAACUGCCUUCGAUACUGCGGGUCUCGAGUCCGGGAGAGGUGAGUGGAAUUCCUAGUGUAGAGGUGAAAUUCGUAGAUAUUAGGAAGAACACCAGUGGCGAAGGCAGCCUCCUGGGCCAGCACUGACGCUCAUGCACGAAAGCGUGGGGAGCAAACAGG